AGUAAAAAAUAUUUAUUGAUAUAAUCAGUUUCGACCUGAUAAAUGGUUAUUUUAACCUUUACUU
rnacentral:tRNA from 1 species